GAUGAAGAACGUAGCGAAAUGCGAUAAGUAAUGUGAAUUGCAGAAUUCAGUGAAUCAUCGAAUCUUUGAACGCACCUUGCACCCUUUGGCAUUCCGAAGGGUAUGCUCGUUUGAGUGUCAUUGUACUCUCACACUUCCAAUCUUUGGAUUGGGAGCGGUGGACUUGGGUGUUGCUGCUUACUGUGGCUCACCUCAAAUCGAUUCGUGCACCUCUUGGUUGGACAUAGUACGGCGUGAUAAGUGUCUUCGCCGGCACCUCAGUAGAGGGUGGCUGAUCAGGAGCUCUGUGCUUCAAACAGUCCUCGGACAACAACUGACAACUUGACCUCAAAUCGAGUAGGACUACCCGCUGAACUUAAGCAUAUCAAUAAGCGGAGGA
rnacentral:misc_RNA from 1 species